ensembl:lncRNA
CUCAAUUGGGUUAAGGGUUGGUGGUGAAAACCUGAGGUCUUUCUGAAGAAUGAACACCAGUGGGUUCUUUCUUCAGAGUACAAGAACUUACAAGUCUGUAAACUUUCUGGUUGACUUUAGUCAUAUGUUCCUAGGGUUACACAAGAAACAGCAGCAAGCAUGACAUCAUACCUACUGCUAUCUACAUCAACUUUCCAGUUAACAGGUUUUUCAGGAAGUGGUGAAAACUCCCCUGUAGUCCAUCUGAACACAGCUGAGAAAUGCUGUAAAAGCUCUCUAACACCUCAACUGAGUAACAACAGAAAUGUUCUGUGAGAUGAAGCACUGGAUAUUGUGGCUGUCUCUAUGCCAUAUUUCACACAUGAGAGGAGAAAGCCUGUGCAAAAGAGAACUUUUACCAAGCAGUAACAUUUCUACUGAGCUCCAGUCUGAUGUCCUGCUGCCGUGUAACUUUAAUACAACUCUCCUCGGAUCAGAUAAGACUGCAGAUAUAUCAGUAGUGUGGAGUCAGAGGAACACAACAAUACACCAUCUAGUGGAGAUCACUCUACGGGGAGAAGUGAUGUUUUGGGAUACUAAACGUGGACGUAUCAAGACGUUCGCUAAGCUCUCUGAAUCAGGAAACUUCUCCAUUCUCCUUCAGAAAGUUCAGCCGUAUGAUCUGGGUCUCUACCUCUGUGAGCUGUUUAACGGGACCGGCUGCAGAAUCGCGUAUCAGGAGCUUCACCUAAACAGAUGGACGAGCAUGAAUAUAGUGGUAUCUCUACCUAUAUGGCCCUUUAUAGCAGCAGGAGGAGGAGCUGCUGCUCUCAUCCUUCUUGUGGUUUUAAUCUGUUUAAUAAAGUGUGCUUGUUCCAAUGCAUCAAAUAAACACAUCUAUGCAAACUCAAGAUUUGAAAAAAGAAAUGACAAAGAGUGCAGUGAAGAGAAACACAGCAGCAAUCAGCAUGCUAAGGCUAGAAAUAAGGUUGAUGUCAACAAGCCUCCAAACCACAGUAACAUCUACGCCAACAGCCACAUGGAAGCUGAAACGAUUUAUGCCAACCAGCCACACUGUAACUAACUAUGAGGUUCUAAAUGGAAGUGUAAUUUAUACAGUAUUCAAUGUGUACAGUACUCUGAAUGUUCUUGCACCGUCCCACUCUUUAUGCAGAGAUUCUUGUACCGAUUCCACAGUCUAGUGGAAAGCCUUCCCAGAAGAGUGUAGGUUAUUAUAACAGUAAAGGGGGAAUAAAUCUGUAAUGGGAUGUUCAACACACAAUUGUGGGUGUGAUGGUCAGGUGUCCACAUACAUUUGCCCAUAUAGUGCAUAUCCUUCAUGUUAAGGUUUGUAGAUGAGAACCAUUUUCUACUUCAUCAGUAAUAAUUAUGUCUCUCUCUCUCUCUCUCUCUCUCUCUCUCUCUCUCUCUCUCUCUCUCUCUCUCUCUCUCUCUCUACUAUCCAUCCACUCAUACCCCUAUCUAUUCGGAGCAUAACAACAUAGAAAGACAACAGUUUAAAUGAAUCAAUACAACAAUUGAUUAAUCAUAAAUGUAUUAUUAGAGAAAAAGGACAAACAACUGGUGUGCAAAAGUAAUUCAUAUUUUUAAACUGGUGAGGUGAUUUGCCUGUAACUCUGAUAGUUUGGAAAUUGUCCUUCCCUACAUCAUCACUUGUGACAUAACAGCAGGCCUCUUGAGAUUCUGAACACAGUAGGUCACAUAUUGAUCGUAGCAGAGUCAAUGGUAUCGUCAAAUAUCGAAUCAUUGCCUUAUGAAUUGAAAUUGUAUUGUAUCGUGUGAAAGCCUGAGGUUUACACCCCUACUAUCCUUCCAGCUAUCCAAGUCCCCAUAAUUCCAUUCCCAUUGCUUUUACUUGAACAUAUUUUCAAUAGCAUAGGGUCAAAAUUGAAAUUGAAAUUCGAAUAAAAGUUUAUCACAUAGAGAAGUCGAUAUGCAGUUUUGAAUCAUUUGAAACUUUUACAUGCUUAAUAUUAGCAAACCAGUGUCUUCAAAAACAUGUUAAAUACUGUAAAGUGAAAUCUCUAUCAUUUCUUUAGUGCCAUAUUUUAUCUUCAGCCUGUUUAUCAAUCAGGUAAAUAAGAUUUCAGCACACAUUACGACAUCAUGCUGUAACCAUGCACCUGCUACAGACUCAAUGCACUUUGGCCUCUGAUCCAAGAAUUACUGUCCUGUCCCCAUAUGGUAAACUCACUUGAUGGAGACGAGCUGAUGAAGUAAAACAUGAUAGGAGCCGAUGCUGUACUAGAAAAUAAUUUUUAUGUGAUUGUACUGUCUUGGAUUGUAUUUAAUUUUUGUUCCACUUCAUUAAAGAACUACAAACGUGAAUACUGAAUACUGUUUACUGAUUUAGUUGUGAUAGGCUCCAUGUGAUUUGGUCUAUCAUUAUUGAAGGUUACAUCGAGAAACUAUUUUAGAUUAUUUUGUGUGUCUUUGC